rnacentral:misc_RNA from 1 species
GAAAUGUGAUAAGUAAUGUGAAUUGCAGAAUUCCGUGAAUCAUCGAAUCUUUGAACGCACAUUGCGCCCUCUGGCAUUCCGGGGGGCAUGCCUGUCCGAGCGUCAUUACGCACCCUCAAGCCCGGCUUGUGUGAUGGGCCCCGGCGUCUCGUUCGCGAGACGGGCCCGAAAGGCAGCGGCGGCGUCGACCCAAUGAGCCCGAGCGUAUGGGGACUUCUGUCACACGUUCGCGGUGCGGACCGGCGCCUGCUUGACUUUUCUGAUUAUCCAGGUUGACCUCGGAUCAGGUAGGGAUACCCGCUGAACUUAAGC